rnacentral:misc_RNA from 1 species
GCUAUAUAUCUAUAAAAGUGUGCAUUGCCUGAAACAAAAUUUUCGUGGAUCAUAAAGUUGAUUUCUUUCGCCGGAGAUGGGGAAGAAAGAAGGUAGUUGGUUCUCAUCAUUGAAGCAUAAAGUGUUCAAGUCAUCUUCCAAUAGUAAGGAAUUACCAGAGAGAAAGAGAGACAAUGUAGAGAAAUGGCAACAUGAGGUCCCC